AUGAUGCACUGAGGGCAGGCUGCUGGAGACACCACCGCGACUCCCUAUCUUACGAGACAGCUAGCUGGCUAGCAUGCUAACUUCAGUAGCACAAAAGAAGUGAUAGAAACGGACGCAACACAAGCGUUAACAUUGACGUUGCUUUCCAUCGCUGGAGACAGCUAUUGGAGAGUAAAGGAAUUAAACUUGAUGCUGAACUGGCAACGUUUCUUCUAGACUGGGAGACAGCUGCAUGCAGAAACAUUGUGGAUCACUGAGCUUCAAGACACCGUCUCUAAAAAUUGCUCCAUUUUUCCACAAAGCAUUUUUCUAAAGCGCUGAGCAGGGCAGGCGGCCUGAUAUGAUGCUGCAAUUCUGGUCUUGGAAUUUGUUCUGGGAGCUGUUUGUUUCGCAAAAUGGAUCAGGUCUUGAUGUAUUAUUGAUGUAAUAUGAUUUUUUUGUCCUAGUCAGAGAUUAUUGAGUCAUAUUUGGGUUGUAAAGUAGUUUAAAGUAGGCAGUUUUGGGUCAUAAUAUCAUGUGAUGCGAAUUUGUUCUAACAUCAAUCAUUUUUAAUAUAUAAAAACUGAGCACUGGUGGA